UGGGGAAUCUUAGACAAUGGGGGCAACCCUGAUCUAGCCAUGCCGCGUGAGUGAAGAAGGCCUUAGGGUUGUAAAGCUCUUUCACCUGUGAGGAUGAUGACAGUAGCAGGAUAAGAAGGACCGGCUAACUCCGUGCCAGCAGCCGCGGUAAGACGGAGGGUCCUAGCGUUGUUCGGAAUGACUGGGCGUAAAGGGUACGUAGGCGGUUUGGUCAGUUAGAUGUGAAAGCCCAGGGCUUAACCUUGGAAUUGCAUUUAAUACUGCCAGACUUGAGAUCGGAAGAGGAAAGCGGAAUUUCUAGUGUAGAGGUGAAAUUCGUAGAUAUUAGAAGGAACAUCAGAGGCGAAGGCGGCUUUCUGGUCCGAUACUGACGCUGAGGUACGAAAGCGUGGGGAGCAAACAGG
rnacentral:rRNA from 1 species